GUAAAACUGAGUUAGUGAACUUUAGGGCACUGUGUCUAUGGAAUUCUUUAGCUUUUACUGCUGUAAAACAAUUGGCUAAUCUCUGAGAUCUUGUUGUGCAGUCAAGAAUGUACCUCCAGUGCUAGAUUUUUUAAUUGUUAAUUAAUUAAAUGACAUUUAUUUUCAAGAGUCCAAAACCCCACAGGCUUUCUUUUUUUUUUGAGGGAGGUAAGAAUAUUUGCUUGUUUUCCCUUCAAUCCCUCAGGUGUGAAGUCAGUCCCAUUGGGUACCAUCUGGUUGGUUCCUCAUUUGACCACUAGGAGGACUGUGAGAUGCAGUGGACACUGGAGAUUUAAAUAUGCAAAUACUGAUCUCUGUUUCAGAUUUGUAGCUUUAGUAUUGUUUAGUAUUUAGUAUUGUUGCCUCACCAAGAUGAUCUGAAUAGAGCCUGUCUCAAAUUAUUUGGCCUUCUUUUGAAGGAUCUUUAUUGCCUUUAUCUCAUAGUUUCAAUUUCAGAUCUUGAUGGGAAGAAAAUAUAAAUAUUAGUUAAGAUUUCGUUUCUUCCUUAUACAAUAGAGAGCUAUUCCUCUGCAAAUUUGGGGGGAAAAAAUGAUAGGCAACCUGCAUUUCAUUCAACUUUCUGUUUUGUGAUUCCACAGACUUAUAGAAAAAGACCCAAAGUGUAAUAUUCAUUCACCGCUUCAGUUUAUGACAUAACUAUUUGAUUAAAAAGAAAUCAUCUAAACAAACAAAACUUAGAGAACACAUUUCAUUAACAUUAGCACUCAGCAUUCUACCUUAAAAUUGAUUUUUACUGUAUACAUUUGGAGUUUUUUUUUUUUUUUAAUUAAAGGUCUGAAAAAGAACUGUGUUUG
rnacentral:lncRNA from 1 species